UUAGAGGGGUUGCAAGGUGAUGUCUCCUCAUGUGAAGGACCCAAAGAGCAAAGGGCUGCUGCUAAUUGGCUAAAGUAUUUAAGCUUCCCACCUGAAGCAGGUUGAGCUUCCUGAUGAAGCUGUCUGCAGCUCGGCUGCCCCCGGCAUGGUGUAUGAGAAGGGAUCACAGCUCCUGAAGAGUGGGAUUAUUGGAGAGCCUCAGCGCUGGAGGAUGCUUUUCCAGGGAGUGAAGGUAUAAACCCAGAGGAACCCUGUGGAAGUCCACAGAAUCAUUCCCGUUUCGCAGCACAAGUAGUACCACACUGAAGCUCCAGGCACAGCAGUUCACCUUCCCAGGAAAAGGUGUCUAAAGCAUCAGGACUCCCAGGUUCUCCUCAACCUUUCAGAAACAGGCAGCGAGAACACAAAGUGAGCAGAAAAGACUAAAAUGGCAGCCUGGGACUGCAUAUGUCUGCCCCCUGCAAGGAACAUUGGAAGCGUUUGAAAGGGAGGUAGGGUAAGCUGGCACGAAACGGGGCACUCGCAGCCAGUUCAGAGGAGGGAAGACGCUGCCUUGGACUCCAAACCAGUGAGCAGGUGCUGUGCAGUGCCUGCCUACCUGCCUGCCUCUGCUGUCUGUCUCCUCGCGCUGCAUGUGUUUUGUAUGUCAGGUUUCUUGCCGUUUUACUCCUGUCAACCGGCCAACGUAUCUGCUGAAGAGCCAGCUGGAGUCCACGCUCUCCCGUGUUUCAUCAACAGGAUUGUCAGCUUGUUCUGAUUCAGUAUCUUUAUUGUUGUUGAUGAGGCUAAACGAAUCAGAAAGAACACAGCUAUGUAUACAAAAUACAAAUUCGGAAACCUCAGCUUGAUGCGAGGAAAUGUCAUUAGCUCUUCAAGUGGAGAAAUCUGCUGUGGGAGCAGACUGGCUGCAAGUACAGACCUCCCGAGAGCUCUGUAUCCCCUGACCCUCCCCGUUUUAUUGUCUUUGUACAGCACCUCCUAAUGAUACCACAUCUUCUAAUAGGGAAAUAUAGGUUUAGAUCUGAUUAAAACCUAAUCUACUGUGGGAUUCUGAUUCUCCCUUCUUUGGAUUCUAAAUGUAAAACCUCUUAAUGAGUGUUAAGUAUGUCUAGAUAAAUUUUAGAAUCCAUGCUGGGAAACCUGAAGCAAACCCCUUGCAGCUAUUGGCACUACUUGCGUUUCCAUUAAUCCCAUCCUACGUCUUGUUGGGGUUUUUUUCCUGUCACAUAUUGUCAGUUUUCCACGGGGGG